UGAACGCUGGCGGUAGGCCUAACACAUGCAAGUCGAACGGCAGCACAGUAAGAGCUUGCUCUUACGGGUGGCGAGUGGCGGACGGGUGAGGAAUACAUCGGAAUCUACUUUUUCGUGGGGGAUAACGUAGGGAAACUUACGCUAAUACCACAUACGACCUACGGGUGAAAGCAGGGGAUCUUCGGACCUUGCGCGAUUGAAUGAGCCGAUGUCGGAUUAGCUAGUUGGCGGGGUAAAGGCCCACCAAGGCGACGAUCCGUAGCUGGUCUGAGAGGAUGAUCAGCCACACUGGAACUGAGACACGGUCCAGACUCCUACGGGAGGCAGCAGUGGGGAAUAUUGGACAAUGGGCGCAAGCCUGAUCCAGCCAUACCGCGUGGGUGAAGAAGGCCUUCGGGUUGUAAAGCCCUUUUGUUGGGAAAGAAAAGCAGCAGGUUAAUACCCCGCUGUUCUGACGGUACCCAAAGAAUAAGCACCGGCUAACUUCGUG
rnacentral:rRNA from 1 species